GACGGAGGAUGCAAGUGUUAUCCGGAAUCACUGGGCGUAAAGCGUCUGUAGGUGGUCAAAUAAGUCAACUGUUAAAUCUUGAGGCUCAACCUCAAAAUCGCAGUCGAAACUAUUCGACUAGAGUAUAGUAGGGGUAAAGGGAAGUUUCCAGUGGAGCGGUGAAAUGCGUAGAGAUUGGAAAGAACACCGAUGGCGAAGGCACUUUACUGGGCUAUUACUAACACUGAGAGACGAAAGCUAGGGUAGCAAAUGGG
rnacentral:rRNA from 1 species